GUGAAGGUGCUUUGGGGUUAAAGCAGUGGAUUUUGAGUGGAGCAGAUUGUCCUCUGUGAUGUAUGUGGGCCUCAUCCAACCAGUUGAAGGCCUGAAUAGAGCAGAAGACUGACUUCCCAGCAAAGCAAGAGGGAAUAUCCUGCUAGUGGAAGCCCUUCAAACUUGAAAGGCAGUAUCAGAUUUUCCCUGGGUCUCCAAACUUUGGCCUACCCUGCAGCUUCCAUAAUCAUGCAUGUAUCCCAUCAUCUUUGCCACUUUCUGAAGUAGUUCUGGAAGUCCUUUGUGUCAUUACAAAGGCUGAUCAAUAUGGUGAAUGUUUUGCUGAGUGCCACUCAACAGAAAGGCAGACUGCUACUCAGAUGUACCUGGAUAAGACUAGGAUUUGAGUCAGUAAUGCAUGGGAGCAGGUGCCAAGGUGUGAUAGUUAACUGACUGUGUCAACUUGAGUAAGAAAAACCCAACUAACUUGGAUCAGCAUAGUUCUGGGUGUGGCUGAGGGGAUUUACUGAAGACAGAAGACUCACCCUAGGGUGGCCUGUCACCUG
ensembl:lncRNA